rnacentral:rRNA from 1 species
UACGUAGGGUGCAAGCGUUAUCCGGAUUCACUGGGUUUAAAGGGUGCGUAGGUGGUUUUGUAAGUCAGUGGUGAAAGCCCGGAGCUCAACUCCGGAACUGCCAUUGAUACUGCUUAACUUGAAUCAACUUGAGGUGGAUGGAAUAUUACAUGUAGCGGUGAAAUGCUUAGAUAUGUAAUAGAACACCGAUUGCGAAGGCAGUUCACUAAGGUUGUAUCGACACUGAGGCACGAAAGCGUGGGGAUCAAACAGG